AAAAGCUGUUCCUCUGAGAAACCAAAGCGCUUGAACACACAGACUGAGGUGCGCUCCGUCUGACAACUUCAAGCAACCGUUACCUCACAGCUCGGGUCAAUGCACGUACGUUCGUCCGUUCGGCUUACGGUGCUUGCAGCUCAGGGACGAAAACAAGAGUCAGCGAAAGUGAACCUGUAUAUACGAACGUACACUUCCCGAGGCGGCGCACCUUUCGGCACCUCACCUGAGAAACUGAAUCAUGGUCAUUGUUCUUUUUUUUAUUUCUUACGUGUGAAGGAGGACGUAAAAAUGGAGAACAAGUACAUUUGAGUACAUCUCCCUCCCCACCGAAAAUGGCACGAUAGAGAGAGAGAACAAAAGAAAGUUACAAUACGAAUUAUCGCACCUGACCACUAUAGUUCAGUAAAGGUGCAGCCGCUGGUCAUUGUGAACUUAUUACUGUACGCAGGUCAAGCUAAAGAAACUACAAGAGAGAGAGAGAGAGAGAGAGAGAGAGAGAGAGAGAGAGAGAGAGAGAGAGAGAGAGAGAGAGAGAGAGAUCUAUCAGUUAAAAAUGUCAAAUAAUAUAUCCCUGAAUUUCCUGCACUCCUCAUCCCCCUCUCCCUCACACCCUCAUCACCAUCAUCCCACCCACCACUAGUACACCCCGGCAGGUAGGUGUAGGUGUUAAGCCAAACACCUACACGCAUCUUAAACCUCCGUCGUGAAGCUCUCGAUAUGAAGCACCGUUUGAAGCAUGACGAUCCUCUCGAACUGCUCAUUGGGGUGUGAAUCAAUUAGGUCAGAGUCUUGCCACUUGAAUCCCAGUUGUAGUUUCUUAAAAUUUCUAAUGAUCAAGGGAAUGUUAUUAGCGUCUUGCUUCUCGUCUUGCAGUCAACAGGAAGGUGUAAAAGAUGGAUUUUAUGGAUAGGGAUGAGAGGUGGAUAUAGGUGUGGGUGUUAUAUACAUGGACUGCCACGUGUAGAUCGUGUUCUUGUGUUCUUUUGUUUAAUAAAUUGAGUGUCUUAUAUUAGGUUAGGUUAGGUUAAAUGAGGUGUUGUCUUGUCUUAGGUUAGGUUACGUUACGUUGGGUUUGAAAUGAAAGUCCGAUAUAGUUUGUAAUCUCGAGACGUAACUGAAUAGGAGUGAAUGUGUAGCUCAAAUAUUCAAUGGCUGUAGUAAUGUAUCUACUGAGGGAAGCCGUCUGGUGUUACUCCUGUGAAGUAACUUUAAUGAGUGGUUCAAGUUUUGUUCUGUUAAUAAAGGAGUUUACUUGUGCCCAAGUGCUCAUUAGCUACCGCAGCAAGACGUCACAGUAACGUGUGAGUGGCGGUCAGCGGGUUAAAAGAGAGACUGGUCAUGAGAGGCAGCGGCCUGAUACAAGCAGCACCAGCAGGCAGGCGGCUCAAGGCUGCCUGGCUGCUGCGGCGGGAUCCGAGUGAAAGGAAAAUUGAGAUUACAGGUCAGGAUGAGAUUAUGAGUAUUGACUUACACGAGAAGGUGGAGAUACAAAAAAAAAAAAAAAAAAAAAAAAAAGAUAAUUGAGAAAUUAAUAAAAUUGACAAUAAGUAUUGCAGAUGAUUAUGAAAUUGACUACUGACUUACCCCACAUGGUACGUUAAAGGAAAAAAUAAACAAAUAAAACUAGUAACUUAUCUCAUGUAAUAAAUUAAAGGCAAAAUAAGUAGAUAGAAAUCAGUAACUUACCUCAUAUGACAAGAUGAAGGCAAAUAAAAAAUUAUAGGUAUUGGCUUAGCCUCAUACGAACAAGUAAAGGUAAAAUUAAAAGAGGAAACUUAAUAAAGUAACUACGUAUUGAAAAGGAAGAUAAAACUGAGUACUAGUUUACCUCAUAUGAUAAAGUGAAGACAAAAUUAAAUAGAACUAAUAACAUUACGAAGAGAAAAAAAAAAAAGAAAAAAAGGUUUAAGAUGUGCCGUGAGGGCAAAGGUUUAUGACUUACAUUUUCUCUUGAUUAGGCAAAUUUAUGGAUGGGGAUGAAAAGUGGAAACAGGUAUGCAUGUUUUAUACAGGGACCGUCACGUGUAGGCCUGAUGUCUCCUUGCAGCUUCCUUUGCUUUGUUAUGUUCUUAUAUUUUCAAGACUAAGUUAAAAUGAUGAGUAUUGUCUUCAUCUCACACUGCCAGGCAAGACACGGUUAAAUGCUACUGGAUGAGAAGGAAGACUAGUUCCUCAGGUGACACAUCUUGAUACUUUCACUGAUACAACCUUCAUUUGUCAAUUUUCAGAGCACUGUAGAAAAUUCAGUGUCAGUGCUUACUAGUAUCUACUGUAUUUCUUACAUAAUUUCUACACGACAUGAAAUCAGUCCAUUCUUUUGCAUCGACACAGGAAAGAGAGAAUAGAAAGUUGAUUUAAUCUUUUCUAUGGCAGAUAUCUAUUAAAAAGAAGACCACAGUACAAGAAAUACGUGUCUCGAAAGCUGUAAAGGGUUAUGGAGUCUUCUUUUGUCAACAUUCGAAGCACCGUAGAAAAUUGUUUGCAUCGACACAGAAAAAAGAGAACAGAGUUGAUUUCGUCUUUUCUAUGCUGGAUAACUAUUAAAGAAAAGACUGUAGUACAAAAGAUAAGAGUCUAAAAAAAAAUGUAUGUGCUUAUUGGGUCUUCUUUGUCAACAUUCGAAACACUGCAGAAAACUGUUUGCGUCGACGAAAACAAAAAGAGAACAGAGAAUUGAUUUCAUCAUUUCUUUGCUGAAUAACUAUGAAAGAGAAAACUAUUUUACAAAGAAUAAGAGUCUAAUAUUCUAUUUUAUUUUCUCUAAUAUUUUAUUAUAUUAUCUGCUAGGUAACUAUGAAAGAGAGGACUGUAAUGCAAAAGAUAAGCGUCUGAACAGUAGUAGGGUGUUGUGGGGAGUGUGGCAGUGAAAGGACUAAGUAAAGAAGUCUCCUGUUAUAAGAGAAGACAGAAGAAAAAUAUGAAGUCUUCCCAGUGGAUUUUUUUUCUCUUCUUUUCUUCUUCUUUUCUUACAGGAAUUGCAUAAACCGCAAAGUGCUGCCAAGGACUUCAGGUAGUUUUCACGUGUAAAAAUAAAUACUCGUUGACAGAGAUGAAGUAAGAGUUUUAGACGAAAAAAAAAAAAAAGGAGAGCGAAAGAGAAAACAGAAAUCUCACCCUACGUAGUAUCAUCUAUAAUGAAGCAAGCAAGUAGCAGUGAUAGUCAGGGCGGUGAUUGCAAAUACCGGAGAAAUUUAGAAUCAAGGUCACAGACACGAGAAGUGGUUGGGUUACUGCAUGUCUGGAUUUAGCGGUAAUUGUGAGUGUGUGUGUGUGUGUGUGUGUGUGUGUGUGUGUGUGUGUGUGUGUGUGUGUAGGUCUCGCGACAGUGCACAUGACGGGAAGGGAAAAGAAAAUGUGUAUCAUGUGUAUUAUUUGCCAGAGAGAGAGAGAGAGAGAGAGAGAGAGAGAGAGAGAGAGAGAGAGAGAGAGAGAGAGAGAGAACGGAAAUGCAAUGGGUGCCUUAAAGAAACAACAGAAGCAACCUGACAACUGAGGCAAAACGCGCUUAGAAUAUUAGCAUACGAGAAGAAACGGAGCGAGAAGGAAACCUGGGGGAGAGUGGGAAUGAAAGUGAGCAGAGUGAAGUGGAGGAAAGAGGUUAAGUGUGAAGUGGAAGCAAACACCAAAUGAGUGAGGGAAGAACUUAUGUAAGAUCUGGUGAAUAAGCUGAAGUGUUGGCUGUUGAAAGCAAGAAGUGGUAGAAAGUUAGUCAUUGCGAGUGUAUGUGUAUGUGUGUGUGUGUGUGUGUGUGUGUGUGUGUGUGUGUGUGUGUGUAUCCAGCAGGUCAGGGUGAGGAACCCCUUUCACUCUGCAAGCUAAAUGCCCUGCUGAUGGUGCUGGUGGUGCUGCUGCUGUUCCCUGCUCACUUGCUCGCCUGCCAACACACACCAAGCACUUAAUGAUAAUAUGACAUCACCACCACCACCUCCUUCCCUUCCCUUCCUCCCUUCCCUCCAUUCCUUCCCCUUCCUCAUACUUUCUCCGGGCAAAAACUCCACAAAAACUCCUUAUUCCUCCACCAAUAAGUGUGACAUAUCCACCUCCCUCCCCAGUUCACGUGUCCAGUGUUGGAGUGGUGGGGUGGUGGAGUGGAGUGGUGGAGCGGGUUAUGACUGAAGAAUGCGCCCUACUUCUUUAUACACAACUACGUUUCUAUUAUUUCCUGCCCCUGCAUCUGCCCCCCAUCCUCCCCGCCUCCCUGUUUUUUCUUGUACCUCCAUUUAUGUAUCUUUUCUCUCAAACUACUAAAACUGUUGAACUAAAUCGACGUGAACAGCGACACCUCCUUCCUUACGUCCUCUCCUCCGUUUUCUUUCUCGUUUCCCUUUUCACCCACUGGUCUUCGAGAAAGAUGUUUUUUUGAUUGAUGAAAACUGAGUUAUGGGAUGUUGUUAAAAUUGGUUGCGAUUAUGUAAUGACAGUAAAUCUUCAUUCCUUUUCCCCAUUUUCUUUAAGUGUAAAAUUUCCUUUGAUGUUCAACAUACCUAAUUUUUCCGCCUGACUACACUGAUGAGAAGUGAGUGGUGGGAGACUAGAAUAGGUUACUGCUUUAUCAGACAUUCUAUCACCAACUGUCAUAGCCAUCAACACCUAAACUUCUUUCCAGUUUUCCCCCGUGAAUUUACAUUGAUGAGAUGUGAGUGGUGGGAAACAAAAAUAGGUUACCCCUGUAUCAUUUCAUCAACAACUGUCAUAACCAUCAACACCUAUUUUUUCCGCGUCUUCUCCGGACCAACCCCUUAAUUCACAAGUCCACAAGAAUUACUCAUCUCUCAAAAUUGUCUGUCACUCCUCUUGCUGAUCCCCCCGGGCGCCUCUUACUCCUAGUUAUGGCUCGGGGUCACAGGGAAGGUAUGUACUAUUGACGCCACAUGGGGACCUCUUAGAAAACCUCAACCGUGAUCAGCGGUUCAUCAUUCACUUACAAGAUAUGCGUUGGGUUAUAGUUAUUAAGCUCUCAUUAGGAUUAAUUUCAAAGGCCACAGAGAUGAUACGUCGAGUUCUCAUGUAUUUUCCUCUUUGAUGAAUAAUAAUCCUCGUUGAAUCAUCAGCAGAAUCAUGAAAACACCUUUGUAAACUCGAAUGACUGAGGAGACUAAUAAAAGUAGUGAAGAUUAAAGCCGGGAGGUGUAGGAAUAUCCUGCUAAGUGUCGAGUUUUCUCCUUGAUAGUAGAUAAUCCUUGUUAAAACAUUAGCAGAAUUAUGAAAACGCCUUUGUAAACUCUAGUGACUUUAGAGCCUGAUACAAGUAAGGUAAAACGCUGAAAUGUGUAGGAGUAUCAGCGAUGUGUGACGGUCAUGUUACGUGUUCGAGAGGUCCAUUAUGUAACUACAGCAGCGGAGGUAAAGAGCCGUGCGAAAAAUGCAGGCAGCGCGGUGAACAGGUUGUGGAGAAAGUGCCACUGUAAAAAGUAAAAGUGAUAAACUCAUGCACCCUUUGUACCAGCGGAGACUGAACUCUUUAAUGACACGUACUUCCCUAAUCACAAACCAUUCUGAAACAUUUCCUAUUAUUCCUUGGCCACCUCUAAGCAUCACACUGGCUAGAGACUGGAUGAUAUAUUCUUUAAUUGGCCCCCUUUCUCUCUCUCUCUCUCUCUCUCUCUCUCUCUCUCUCUCUCUCUCUCUCUCUCUCUCUCUCUCUCUCUCUCUCUCUCUCUCUCUCUCUCUCUCUCUCUCUCUCUCUCUUGUUAGUGUUUGUCAAGAUUUCUGCUAUCCUUAAUGCUGUGAAUUGCUUGUUGCAGUGAAAGGGUUAACGAAUGAAAAGUGGUGGAGGUUAUGAUGCAGCUUGUAACUGGAUUAACAUGAACUAGAAAUGAGACGAAGAGACUCUGGCAUUUAAGCUGAGAGGCUUUGGGUAUAGGCUGAGAGACUGGACUACUACUGUAUGUACUGCUGAACUGUAGGCUGAUGAACUGGGAUAUAAACUGAGACUUUGUGACAUACAGACAGAGAGACUGUCAUGCAAGCUAAUACAGGGUGGGAUGUAGACUGAGAGAUUGACAUGUAAACUAAUACAGGGUUGGAUGUAGGCUGAGAGACUGUCAUGCAAGCCAAUACAGGAUGAGAUGUAGGCUGAGAGAUUGUGGGAUAAAAACCGAGAGACAGGAAUAAACUGAUGGAGUGUGUGAAAAUAUAGACUACUAAACCUUACGGUAAGACAUGCAGGUCAAGAAAUUCAAAAUAUCAUAUCUUCCUACAGUAUCUCAAGGCUACGUGGGAUGCCCUUACGAAUCCCUAAUGCGGAGAGACAUACAAGGCGGUAAAUUCAACAGACACGUGGCUAAAUCUAUCCUCUCCCUUGGUCCCUCGUCACCGGCGCCUCUCAGCUCAACACAGAAACUCGUUGACGGAGAAACCAGCACCGGGAACAAGAAAACGCUACAUAGAUCCUGGCCAGCGAUGGAAAGGGGGAGGCUGGACACACGCACGCAUCCCUAUUCUUCGCCAAGGUCACUCCGUCCCUAGGCAGGCCUCGCAACUGCAUAAAAACUCGCUUGUCAUGAAGUGACCGAAAUGUGUAAUUCCCCACGGUCCCCAGCAUCACGUGGUGGACACCUCCCCGCCACAAUCCUCAGGCACUGAACUUCGGCUCGUGCAGUUCGAUGUAUGAAAAAGACUAGGAUCUUUGACACACACACACACACACACACACACACACACCACCGCGGGGAGCUUAGCGAGCAUGUGUGUGUGUGUGUGUGUGUGUGUGUGUGUGUGUGUGUGUGUGUGUGUUUGUGUGUGUUGUACAUUUGAGCGUACACAUUUUUAUAUCAUCAUUUAUUCUCUGGAUGAAAAGACAAACAGGAAAAAAAGUCGCUUGAAAAUGAGAGAACAUUUUUACUCAAAGAAUUAAAGAAAAAUAAAUAAGAAGAAACCUGAAAAGGAAUAACGACACGGCACUCAUCUUCUAAAGCCUCACGUAACUCUCAAGGUUCUCGAUAUAUUAAUCCUUUUAAUGCUAGAUGAUACUUCACAUAAUUAUCUACAACACUUAAGACUUAUUUUUGUACUGCAGUCCCUUACGUAGUUUUAUAUUCUAAAGGAACAAAAUUAACCUCUAAUUCUCUCUUUUUCUCAGUUCAUUCAGAUAUUUUCUAUAGUGCUUUGAAUGUUAAGAAAGGGCGAUCAAAGCAAUAAAGAAGUUGAGGCAGGAAGACCCAUACGUGGAGGAAAAUAAGAGUAAAUACUCGUAAGUAGACGGAACAGGAGGAUAAAGGUCUGUCUUGGAACUAAUUAGAGAUGAAGCGAGAGAAUAAAAAGAAAAGGUAGCGGAGAAGUACAAGGAUUACAUAUUGAGGGUAUGGAGGAAUGAUUCUUACCCUGGGGUUAAUUUAUUUUCUGGAGGUAAAAAGAAAAGGAGGAGGAGGAGGAGAAGGAGGAGGAAGAGGAAAAGAGAAAAGACAGCACGCAGUAAAGAAGUACCUUACCUGAAUAAUAAACAGGUAGUCACUGUGAAGCUGAGCACCCGGUAUAGAUUUUUCAUUUACACACUAUAUACUGUGAAUAAGAUUGUGUGUAACGGUAAUCCUUAAACGUACGAACAAUGUCCCAUCCUUCCCUUCGAAAGAUAAAACAAAUCAAUAAAUAAUUAGGUAGGCAGGCAGGUAAGGUAAAUGAAUGAAAAAGAAAUAAAGAAGGAAAGAAAGAAGAAAGUAAAUAGAUAAAUUGGUAGAUAAAUAAAUGAACAAAUUAAUAAAUAAAUCAAUAUAUGCUAGUUUUACUAGCAGGAUAUGCAAGAAAGCUAGAGAGAGAAAAGUCAUAAGCAUCUUUGGAGGUAUGCGAGAAGGCAAGUCGCUGCUUCGUGAUGGUUAUGAAUGUUGUGUAUGUCAGUAAGGGAGUAAAUAGUGAAAUGCUUCGGCCCGAGCUGGUAACUGAUGGAGGAAAUCCUGAGAGUCCCUGGUGUAGACGAAGGACGGAGAGAAAUCAAGGACACCGUGGUUGAAAUUAAGUAAACAUUCCAUACCUCACGACAGUGAUUAUGGCAUCAGACAGACACACACCAUACAAGCAUCACCAGAGAGAGAGAGAGAGAGAGAGAGAGAGAGAGAGAGAGAGAGAGAGAGAGAGAGAGAGAGAGAGAGAGAGAGAGAGAGAGAAACAGUACCCCUAACAACAAAAAACAACAAAAAACGCCACAUUUUUUUCUCUCCCACAAGCAAUGGCAAUACACAUUUAUAAUCCUUCCAGUAACGAUGUAAUUCCAGCAAACGAUAAAGCAAAGCAUGAUAAAAUCUAUACCAUCCCAAUUCUCCACAUCUAUACCAUCCCAAUCCUCCACAUCCCUGUUCUCUCACCCAUUGUUUACUGUGAGUUCUUUACUAUUUAGUGGUACAAUAUGUAAAUAGUUCUUAGUUAUGAAUAAACAAUUCUGCUAUUUUCCCCAUAUAAUCUAAAGAAUAAAAAAAAAAAAAAACUGGCCAUUUAUAAUUUUCCUCUGGCUGUGUAUCUUUUUCUUUUUUUUUCAUAUUAUGCGCUUAUAUAAGUGUGUGCGUGUGUGUGUGUGUGUGUGUGUGUGUGUGUGUGUGUGUGUGUGUGUGUGUGACAAAUUCUCACGAGAAGAAAGAAUGAGUGUUAAGAGUACGGUAGAAGGAAGAGGAGGCGAAGGAGGAAGAAGAAAGGAAAAGAAGUGGAUUUUGUUUUGUCCUUGAAUCCUCCUCCCUCGCGCUCCCACGGCUUCGUCAUCGCGACUAGAGGGACUUCCAACUCUGCUUACUCUUCCCUGUUUUACUUCGUUCCCUGCUAUACUACAAUCUCGCCUCUUUAUUAUUUCGCACCAACAAACUCCUUUUUUUUUUCCUUGUUUUCUUCAUCCCUUUCCAUAGAUCCUGCCUUCCUGUUCUUUCGUAUUGCCCAUCUUUCCUAGCUCUUUCUUACCUGUCUUUCUUUUAAAACUUCUUUUCUUUCCAACUUUGUUCUUUCUUCCAUUCAAUUUCUCUUGUUUCUUUGAUCUCUGUAUUUUUUUUUUCUUAUCCAUGCUCCGUUUUACCCAUCUUUCUUCUUCGCAUUCUUUGUCUUCCUCCAAUCUAUUUCAUUUUUCUUUCCCUUCCGUCUUUCGUCUUACCCAACUCUCUCUCUCUCUCUCUCUCUCUCUCUCCCUCUCUCUCUCUCUCUCUCUCUCUCUCUCUCUCUCUCUCUCUCUC